AGUGAGCCAUAGUGAGUCGGCAAAGUUGCUGCCCUGUUCUAAUGGCCUAUCUGAGAGAAAGGUAGAAGCUGCAUUUUGUGGCUCUAUUUUCUGUCACUUAUGAAUUGAUUUUGAAAACGAUUUGUUCUGAUGAAAUGUAGCCUUAUGAUUCUAGUUUCCAUCACCACCAACCAUUCUCAAUUUUAAUUGUAUUGAGUGAUAUAUGGUUCAAUUCCAAACUGCGAC
rnacentral:lncRNA from 1 species